CGCGUCACAGUGAGACCGUGGGACCGUAGGAGGAGCCAGCUCAGCCAGCACGCCCCGGGGUCGGCCGCUGCCCCGGGGUCGGCCGUCAGAAGCCGCCGCUGCUGUUCCAGAGGUUCCACAUCACCUGAUGAUUUUUUUUAAACCGUGUUAAAACUUUGAUGCCAAAAUCCAGUAGCAGCGAUCAGAUCUUGACCUCCGGAGGAACAUCUGGGUCAUUUAACACCGUUCAGCUCACGCACAUCUGCUCGUCGUUUGAAUGUGGUCAUCAGGUCCCUGCACAUUCACCUUUUGGACAUUCUGGUACAUUCAUUUCAAUCCCUGGUUCAUGUUAAGACACUGCUGGUGUGGUAGAAGUACACUUCCUGCCUAUUUCAGAUUUAGCGACUAUAUCCAACCUGGUCCAGGAGCCAUCGGGUUCAAAUUUGGCAGACGGUCUACUUCGAGAACCAGCGCCGGCCCCACACAGACAAACCUGGACCCCUAAAUGUACCUGCAACAUUAUGUUUCAGUCACUCACCGUGACACGAACUGACAUGGGGCCAUUAGGGUUCACAAAGUUGUUUGUGUUUGCUGGUUGUUCCAACCAGCAUCGCAGACUUUCAUUUUUACCAGCGGAGCAACAAAGGAGAACUUUAUGGAUUAAUUUUAUUGUAAAUGGACCGGUGCUGGCACAGGUCCUGACACCAUUUCACCUCCGUCUGCUUUGAAAACGAGGGUAAAUUUACUACUGGGCUUGAGGUUGAAGAAGGGCUCCGUUCCUACAAGACGUGAUCCACUUGCUGCUUCCCCAAACGCUGACGCAUCCCAGCUACCGAAACGCGAGGAGGCUGCUUCUCAAACUGAUGCCACUGGAGGCUGUGGACACACAUCUGCCUCGUAGAAGAGUUGUUGCUCACCUCUGGAGCAAAGGAAUGUACAUUUAACAGCAGUAUGAUCAUUUGAAGUGCAACCACUUCAAAAGCCCCCCAUUCGACUACGAGUCAGAUUUUGGAUUAAACAUAUGGUUUAACUCCACUACGAGGACGAGGCAGCCAGUUUCGCUGUUACAGUGGAUUCAGUGACCGUGACUUUUGAUCCCCGUGGCGGAUCACGGCUGUGCGCUUCCUCGAAGGGGUGUGGUGAUCAACUUGGCUUGCGACACAGCCCUAAAACAGAGCAUGUGGACGAGAGCUUAAAACACAAGUCUACAGAGCCUUUUGGCAUUAAAGGUUACAGACACCUUAUUGAGACAUCAAGGUUUAUUUUUUUGCAUUAUUUGGCAUGGAAGAAAAGCGUGUGCAUGGACCUUUAAAACAAACACAGAGAACAAACACGACUGAGUGCAAAGCUGACCAACCAAAACCUAAGGAAGGAAGGGUGUCGCAGUGAAGGCGUUU